GCUCCAAUUACGUACGGCUAUUAAAAUAGUUUAGCUAGGCAUCCUUAGGUUUGAGACGGCCUAGCAUCGUGCCAGAACCCUAGUCAUUAAUUAAAUAAGGAGGUAUCUGACGGUACCUUAAGCAGGAGUGUUGUUUUUAAGUAAGCAGAUUCGGCUUCUGUGACUGCCGCCGCCAGACAGUACUAGCGUAGAAAAUGGCUCCUACACCGCAACAGAAGAGCUGGUGUGUCCUGCAGUUAGCAAAAACGGGGACUCCAAUCUCUACACUACUGUGGAAGAUUGCCAUGAAAAUUAUUAAAAAAAUAUAUAGGAAAAUGAAUUGAUAAAUAAAGGACUCGAUUUGCCACAGUUCAGCAAAAUAAUGAACUAUUUUGAAGGGGAGGAAAAGCUAUAAUUUAGAAACUUCAGAAAUUACAUUGUUAUAUAAUUAGGGACCGGAAAAAUUCGCGGUUUCGAUGGCCUUCAGGAUAGA